rnacentral:tRNA from 1 species
GGCACUUUGGCGGAGUGGUUAACGCGAUGCCCUGCUACGAAAGGUGGUAGGCAUUUCCCUCGGGAGCGUGUGUUCGAAUCACACAGGUGUCG